CGGGGUUUGAACUGUAUCGGCGACAUCCAGAGAUGGAUGGUUUCCUUCGGGAACUGGUAUAGAGGUGCUGCAUGGCUGUCGUCAGCUCGUGUCGUGAGAUGUUGGGUUAAGUCCCGCAACGAGCGCAACCCUUGUCUGUAGUUGCCAUCAGGUUAAGCUGGGCACUCUACGGAGACUGUCGGCGAUAAGCCGGAGGAAGGUGGGGAUGACGUCAAGUCCUCAUGGCCUUUAUGUCCCGGGCUACACACGUGCUACAAUGGGUGGAACAGAGGGCAGCGAGCCUGCGAAGGCAAGCGAAUCCCAAAAAUCCAUUCUCAGUUCGGAUUGCAGUCUGCAACUCGACUGCAUGAAGUUGGAAUCGCUAGUAAUCGCGGAUCAGAACGCCGCGGUGAAUACGUUCCC
rnacentral:rRNA from 1 species